rnacentral:misc_RNA from 1 species
AUUUUGUUGUGGUAAGACCAAUUCAAAGAAAAACGAUUGUAGUACGUAGAUGAUUAACUCCAUAUGAAAAUAUUGGAACUAAUUAUAACAUUUAAGGUAAUUAAAUAUUUCUCUUUUCUAUUUACAAUUGGGAAAAAUAAAGUUUAAACACCCUUGAAGGUCUAUAGAAUUUGGAAUCGAUAGAACUCUUUGUCUUGCUUCCGAUAGACCUUACAGUGUUUCCUUGUUAUCUGUUAUAUUUUCUUCAUUGUCUCUUACUUGGAUUUAUCGCACUUGAGCCAAGGGUAUUUAGGAAACAUCUUCUCUAUCUUCUCGAGAGAGUAGUGGUGAGUUUUGCGUACCUUCUACCCUCCCACUCUUUGUCAUUCUGUUUAAUAUUGGAUUGAAUUGGACUCUGGGCCUGGGCCUUUUGCUAGACUUUUCAUCAUUGUGGCUCAAUAACUUACACUUGUGAUGAUCAAUCAUGCCAACAAAGAAGCAUGACUACACAUCUUCUCAUUAUGUAAAGCCUCCCUCUUUGUUCCUUAAGAAAUUUUCCAAGUCUUCUACUUGACAUUUUCUUCUUUGAGUUCUCAUCAUGAGUUGAACCACCAACAUUGUUCAUCUUCAUUUCUAUUGCCAAUUUAAUUCUUUCAAAUCAAGAUGAAAGUUUUUUUGUGUGUGUGUGAGACUGAGCAAAGUAGUAGUAGAAGAAUUGAUGAAGUUGGAUUUGAAG